rnacentral:rRNA from 1 species
GUCCACGCCGUAAACGAUGGGUGCUAGGUGUCGCAGGCUUUGACUCCUGCGGUGCCGUAGCUAACGCAUUAAGCACCCCGCCUGGGGAGUACGGCCGCAAGGCUAAAACUCAAAGGAAUUGACGGGUGCCCCGCACAAGCGGUGGAGCAUGUGGUUUAAUUCGACGCAACGCGCAGAACCUUACCUGGGCUAGAAAGUGCAGGAACCUGGUCGAAAGGUCGGGGUGCUCUUCGGAGAAUCUGCAGUUAGGUGCUGCAUGGCUGUCGU